rnacentral:rRNA from 1 species
UGAACGCUGGCGGCGUGCCUAAUACAUGCAAGUCGAGCGAACAGACGAGGAGCUUGCUCCUCUGACGUUAGCGGCGGACGGGUGAGUAACACGUGGAUAACCUACCUAUAAGACUGGGAUAACUUCGGGAAACCGGAGCUAAUACCGGAUAAUAUAUUGAACCGCAUGGUUCACUAGUGAAAGACGGUUUUGCUGUCACUUAUAGAUGGAUCCGCGCCGCAUUAGCUAGUUGGUAAGGUAACGGCUUACCAAGGCGACGAUGCGUAGCCGACCUGAGAGGGUGAUCGGCCACACUGGAACUGAGACACGGUCCAGACUCCUACGGGAGGCAGCAGUAGGGAAUCUUCCGCAAUGGGCGAAAGCCUGACGGAGCAACGCCGCGUGAGUGAUGAAGGUCUUCGGAUCGUAAAACUCUGUUAUUAGGGAAGAACAAAUGUGUAAGUAACUAUGCACGUCUUGACGGUACCUAAUCAGAAAGCCACGGCUAACUACGUG